GAGAGAGAUGAAUAACGGCAGAAUCUAGUAAUGUGGGAGGAAGUUGAAUGUUAUAAGUGGAAACUGAAGCAUGUUAAAUUACUGUUAGAGAAUGCAAACAGAUGUCAGGAGAUGAAGAAGUCGAACGAUGUAAGAAAAUAUUAAAUAUGUCAAAAGGAAGCUAAAGUGAUGUCCGAGGAAAUCAAGUGAUGUCAAAAAGAAGCAAAGUGAUGUCAAAAGGAAGUUAAGUGAUGUCAAAAGGAAGUUAAGUGAUGUCAAAAGGAAGUUAAGUGAUGUCAAAAGGAAGUUAUGUCGAAAGGAAGUUAAGUGAUGUCAAAAGGAAGUUAAGUGAUGUCAAAAGGAAGUUAAGUGAUGUCAAAAGGAAGUUAAGUGAUGUCAAAAGGAAGUUAAGUGAUGUCA